AGAGUUUGAUCCUGGGUCAGGAUGAACGCUGGCGGCGUGCUUAACACAUGCAAGUCGAACGAUUAAAGCCCCUUCGGGGGUGUAUAGAGUGGCGAACGGGUGAGUAACACGUGGGCAAUCUGCCCCUCACUUCGGGAUAACUCAGAGAAAUUUGAGCUAAUACCGAAUACUCCGGUCGGACCGCAUGGUCUGAUCGGGAAAGCUCCGACGGUGAGGGAUGAGCCCGCGGCCCAUUAGCUUGUUGGUAGGGUAAUGGCCUACCAAGGCGACGAUGGGUAGCCGCGCUGAGAGGCGGAUCGGCCACACUGGGACUGAGACACGGCCCAGACUCCUACGGGAGGCAGCAGUGGGGAAUUUUGCGCAAUGGGCAAAAGCCUGACGCAGCAACGCCGCGUGCGGGAUGAAGGCUCUCGGGUCGUAAACCGCUUUCAGCAGGGAUGAAAUUGACAGUACCUGCAGAAGAAGCCCCGGCUAAAUACGUGCCAGCAGCCGCGGUAAUACGUAUGGGGCAAGCGUUAUCCGGAUUCAUUGGGCGUAAAGAGCGCGUAGGCGGCUUGUUAAGUUAGGUGUGAAAUCCGGGGGCUUAACCCGCGGCUUGCAUCUAAAACUGGCAGGCUUGAGUCUGGUAGAGGAAAGUGGAAUUCCUGGUGUAGAGGUGAAAUUCGUAGAUAUCAGGAGGAACACCGGUGGCGAAGGCGACUUCCUGGCCCUAUACUGACGCUGAGACGCGAGAGCGUGGGUAGCAAACAGGAUUAGAUACCCUGGUAGUCC
rnacentral:rRNA from 1 species